rnacentral:lncRNA from 1 species
UGAGAUACGAAGGUUAAGGAUGUGUUUGUUUUAUCGAAACUAGAGGUAGUGAAGUAAUUUUUGAUCAUAAAUAUUUACUUUUGUUGUUUGAUUUAUCAUAAUUUUAUUUUCAGUCGAAACUCAAAAUUUGUAAUUUUAAUUACGAAAAAAAAAUAAAUAAUCCAUCUCUCAUAUUUUUUAGCUCUUACGCAAUUUACUUCCCGCCAAAGAAAUAAUAAAAUUAGAAGAACUUUAGUUAUACAGCUGUAUAAACAAACAACAAAAAUGAAGUAAUUUUUAUCUGAGUUUUAGUUCAACCGAAAAUUCAGGCCCGAGAUCCUUCCUCUCAUACAGUAGCGAUCGCUCGUCUUACAAAGUUUAGCUUUCGAUUUUGCUUCAGUACAAUUUAUUCACUGAAUUUGAUCAGAUUAAAUACAUCUAAUUUACUGCUAGCAACUUUUAUAAUAAUAUGAUGUUGUUAUUAAGGUAUUAAUUUUAAUAUUAGAAAAAAAAAUUUGUUAAUAAAAUU